rnacentral:rRNA from 1 species
AGCAGCCGCGGUAAUUCCAGCUCCAAUAGCGUAUAUUAAAGUUGUUGCAGUUAAAAAGCUCGUAGUUGAAUUUCGGGGUCAGUAGAUUGGUCGUGCCACUGGUAUGCACUGGUCUUACUGGCUCCUCCUUCCUGAUGAACCGUAAUGCCAUUAAUUUGGUGUUGCGGGGAGACUGGACUGUUACUUUGAAAAAUUAGAGUGUUUAAAGCAGGCUAACGCUUGAAUACAUUAGCAUGGAAUAAUGAAAUAGGACGUUCGAUCUUAUUUUGUUGGUUUCUAAGAUUGACGUAAUGAUUAAUAGGGAUAGUUGGGGGCAUUAGUACUCAAUUGUCAGAGGUGAAAUUCUUGGAUUUAUUGAAGACUAACUACUGCGAAAGCAUUUGCCAAGGAUGUUUUACAUUAAUCAAGAACGAAAGUUAGGGGAUCGAAGACGAUCAGAUACCGUCGUAGUCUUAACCAUAAACUAAUGCCGACUAGGGAUCGGA